rnacentral:rRNA from 1 species
CGCUGGCGGCGUGCUUAACACAUGCAAGUCGCACGAGAACGCUUUAGCUUGCUAAAGCCAGUAAAGUGGCGCACGGGUGAGUAACGCGUGGGUAAUCUACCCCUGAAUUUGGGAUAACGUUGCGAAAGCGACGCUAAUACCGGAUAAUAUCUUUUUAAUUUCGGUUAGAAAGAUCAAAGGUGGCCUCUACAUGUAAGCUACUGUUUGGGGAUGAGCCCGCGUACCAUUAGCUAGUUGGUAGGGUAACGGCCUACCAAGGCAGCGAUGGUUAGCUGGUCUGAGAGGAUGAUCAGCCACACUGGAACUGACACACGGUCCAGACUCCUAUGGGAGGCAGCAGUGAGGAAUUUUGCGCAAUGGGGGAAACCCUGACGCAGCAACGCCGCGUGAGUGAUGAAGGCCUUCGGGUCGUAAAGCUCUGUCAAGUGGGAAGAACCUGAUUAUUGUUAAUAUCAGUAAUCACUGACGGUACCACUGAAGGAAGCACCGGCUAACUCCGUGCCAGCAGCCGCGGUAAUACGGGGGGUGCAAGCGUUAUUCGGAAUUAUUGGGCGUAAAGAGCGCGUAGGCGGCCAGUUAAGUCAGAUGUGAAAUCCCGGGGCUCAACCCCGGAAGUGCAUUUGAAACUAAUUGGCUUGAGUAUGGGAGAGGGAAGUGGAAUUCCUGGUGUAGAGGUGAAAUUCGUAGAUAUCAGGAGGAACACCGGUGGCGAA